rnacentral:rRNA from 1 species
GGAGGGAGCUAGCGUUGUUCGGAAUUACUGGGCGUAAAGCGCGCGUAGGCGGCUUUGUAAGUUAGAGGUGAAAGCCCGGGGCUCAACCCCGGAACUGCCUUUAAGACUGCAUCGCUUGAAUCCAGGAGAGGUGAGUGGAAUUCCGAGUGUAGAGGUGAAAUUCGUAGAUAUUCGGAAGAACACCAGUGGCGAAGGCGGCUCACUGGACUGGUAUUGACGCUGAGGUGCGAAAGCGUGGGGAGCAAACUGGAUUAGAUACCCUGGUAGUCCACGCCGUAAACGAUGAUAACUAGCUGUCGGGGGCCAUGGGCUUUCGGUGGCGCAGCUAACGCAUUAAGUUAUCCGCCUGGGGAGUACGGCCGCAAGGUUA